rnacentral:lncRNA from 1 species
GAAGAUCGUAAGAUAUACAAAGAGAAAAAUGAAAAAGAACCUCGAACAUUAGGGUUUUCAGAGAAAGGUCUCGAAAUGGCGAAAAAAGCCUGAACGGACUCAUCAGAGUCGGCAAAGGACUUAAGGCCUUAAGACUUGCUGGAGAAAGGCCGGACACAGCUACAAAAGACCCCAUUGGAGGACCCCUUGUCCAGUCAUCUUUGAAAUAAGGCUUCGAUCCUCGAACCAAAAGGCCAGGAGAGGUGAGGAGUGAACGAAUAAGGGAGUUUCAGGUCCAGGACGGCCAUGAACGCUGGUGAAAAGGGCCGGAGACAACUAGGGAUUUUAGAGAACUUAGAGAGCUUUAGAGAUUCAAAGGUGGCCGGUUUGGAAAAGUGACUAGGGCUUGGGGGUAUUAGGGAUUUAAUUUAGGUAAGUGUAUUGUGGGCCGUUGAUCUGUCAGAUCAACGGCCGGGAUUAGAAAGAUGACCGGGUGGGCUAGAUUUAAGUGGAUUUGAUCGGGUGAUUUUGGAUUUGGGUCGGGAAAUUGUGGGCUAAUUUUGGGGUUGAUUUUGGAUUUCAAUUUGGGCUAGAAUUGAAAGAUUAAAG